rnacentral:rRNA from 1 species
AUACGGAGGGUGCAAGCGUUGUUCGGAAUCACUGGGCGUAAAGGGCGCGCAGGCGGUUUGAUAAGUCAGAUGUGAAAGCCCACGGCUCAACCGUGGAAGUGCAUUUGAAACUGCCAGACUUGAGUACCAGAGGGGAAAGUGGAAUUCCCGGUGUAGAGGUGAAAUUCGUAGAUAUCGGGAGGAAUACCGGUGGCGAAGGCGACUUUCUGGCUGGAUACUGACGCUGAGGCGCGAAAGCGUGGGGAGCAAACAGGAUUAGAUACCCUAGUAGUCC